UACGGAGGGAGCUAGCGUUGUCCGGAAUUACUGGGCGUAAAGCGCACGUAGGCGGCUUUGUAAGUUAGAGGUGAAAGCCCGGGGCUCAACUCCGGAAUUGCCUUUAAGACUGCAUCGCUCGAAUUGUGGAGAGGUAAGUGGAAUUCCGAGUGUAGAGGUGAAAUUCGUAGAUAUUCGGAAGAACACCAGUGGCGAAGGCGACUUACUGGACACAUAUUGACGCUGAGGUGCGAAAGCGUGGGGAGCGAACAGG
rnacentral:rRNA from 1 species